CAAGCCCUGGAAACGGGGUCUAAUACCGGAUACGACCUUCGGAGGCAUCUCCUGGGGGUGGAAAGAAUUUCGGUCAAGGAUCAGCUCACGGCCCAUCAGUUAGUUGGUGAGGUAAUGGCUCACCAAGACGACGACGGGUAGCCGGCCUGAGAGGGUGACCGGCCACACUGGGACUGAGACACGGCCCAGACUCCUACGGGAGGCAGCAGUGGGGAAUAUUGCACAAUGGGCGCAAGCCUGAUGCAGCAACGCCGCGUGAGGGACGACGGCCUUCGGGUUGUAAACCUCUUUUAGCAGGGAAGAAGCGAGAGUGACGGUACCUGCAGAAAAAGCACCGGCUAACUACGUGCCAGCAGCCGCGGUAAUACGUAGGGUGCAAGCGUUGUCCGGAGUUAUUGGGCGUAAAGAGCUCGUAGGCGGUUUGUCACGUCUGCUGUGAAAUCCCGAGGCUCAACCUCGGGCUUGCAGUGGUACGGGCAGACUAGAGUGCGGUAGGGGAGAUCGGAAUUCCUGGUG
rnacentral:rRNA from 1 species